GACGAACGCUGGCGGCGUGCUUAACACAUGCAAGUCGAACGGAAAGGCCCUGCUUUUGUGGUGUGCUCGAGUGUUAAACGGGUGCGUAACACUUGAGUAACCUGCCCUUGCCUUUGGGUUAACUUCAGCAAACUGGGGCUACUACCAGAUACGGGCUCCUUCUGCUUGGUGGGUGUUUGAUAGUUUCGGGGGUAGGGGAUGGGCUCGCGGCUUAUCACCUUGUUUGGUGGGUAGUGUCUUACCAAGGCUUUGACGGGUAGCCGGCCUGAGCGGGUGGGCGGCCACAUUGGGACGGAGAUGAGGCCCAGACUACUACGGGAGGCAGGAGUGGGGAAGAUUGCACAAGGGGAGGAAGCCUGAUGCAGCAAAGCAGCGUGGGGGAUGACGGCAAUCGGGUUGGAAACCGAAUUCGCCUGAGAGGAAGCGUGAGUGACGGUAAUGGGUAAAGAAGCACCGGCUAACUACGUG
rnacentral:rRNA from 1 species